UACGUAGGGGGCAAGCGUUGUCCGGAAUCAUUGGGCGUAAAGCGCGCGUAGGCGGCCCGGUAAGUCCGUUGUAAAAGUCAAAGGCUCAACCUUUGAAAGCCGAUGGAUACUGCCGGGCUAGAAUCCGGAAAAGGCGAGUGGAAUUCCUGGUGUAGCGGUGGAAUGCGCAGAUAUCAGGAGGAACACCAAUAGCGAAGGCAGCUCGCUGGGACGGUAUUGACGCUAAGGCGCGAAAGCGUGGGGAGCAAACAGG
rnacentral:rRNA from 1 species